GCUCUGUUCCUCAGCUACAGCUCAGACGGAGAAUCCCUCACCACCGAGCAGCUCCGCAGCCUCCUCUCCAAUGAGUUCAGCCAGGUCCAGGCGCUGAAUGAACAGCUGCUGGAGGAGUUCAUUGUGGCUUAUGAUGGAAAUGGAGAUCACAAGCUCGAUAUGAUGGAGUUUGCAGAUCUGGUCAAAUUCAUCACCAAAGACGGCCACUAGACAACACUGGAAAUAUAUAUUAAUCCUGGGCUUAUGAUGGGCCUAACAAUAUCUGACACAUAGAAAAUGUAACAUAGAUCACAAAACCUGAAACAUACACACAUUCCUGAUGAAUAAAUCUGUCUACUGCUUGUAGUCAUUUAAACUCA